GACGGGGCCCGCACAAGCGGUGGAGUAUGUGGUUUAAUUCGAUGCAACGCGAAAACCUUACCUGCCCUUGACAUCCUCGGAACUUGUCAGAGAUGACUUGGUGCCUUCGGGAACCGAGAGACAGGUGCUGCAUGGCUGUUGUCAGCUCGUGUCGUGAGAUGUUGGGUUAAGUCCCGCAACGAGCGCAACCCCUAUCCUCAGUUGCCAUCAUUAAGUUGGGCACUCUGUGGAGACUGCCGGUGUCAAACCGGAGGAAGGUGGGGAUGACGUCAAGUCCUCAUGGCCCUUAUGACCAGGGCUACACACGUGCUACAAUGGCCGGUACAAAGAGUUGCGAUACCGCGAGGUGGAGCUAAUCUCAUAAAGCCGGUCUCAGUUCGGAUUGGAGUCUGCAACUCGACUCCAUGAAGUUGGAAUCGCUAGUAAUCGCGGAUCAGCCAUGCCGCGGUGAAUACGUUCCCGGGCCUU
rnacentral:rRNA from 1 species